rnacentral:lncRNA from 1 species
UUAUGACCUAAAUAAUGAUUGUGAAUAUCACCAUGUUGAAUGCAUCGAACAUGUUCUUGCAUUACUGGAUCAAAUUCUGCAAUCGUUUCAAUAAAACUUAGAAAAUUUUCGUUAUUGCAUUGAUAGAUCUUUUCAUUCUUUUCUCGAAAUGCUAAAUUAUUUUUUGCAAAAUUUUUUACGACAGCAGUAAUUCUCAAUAGAACUUUUUUCCAAUGAUCCUUCUCUUGGUUUAUUUGUUCUUGGAGACUUUUAUCAAUUGUCUUAUUUUUUAGCAAUUUCACUUC